AACGAACGCUAGCGGUAGGCCUAACACAUGCAAGUCGAACGGGCAUAUAGCUUGGCUUGCCAAGUUGUAUGUCAGUGGCAGACGGGUGAGUAAUACAUAGGAAUCUACCUGACAGUAAGGAAUAGUCACUAGAAAUGGUGAGUAAUACCAUAUACGCCCUGAGGGGGAAAGAUUUAUCGCUGUCAGAUGAGCCUAUGUUGGAUUAGCUAGUUGGUGAGGUAAAUGCUCACCAAGGCAACGAUCCAUAGCUGGCCUGAGAGGGUGAACAGCCACACUGGAACUGAGAUACGGUCCAGACUCCUACGGGAGGCAGCAGUGGGAAUAUUGGGCAAUGGGCGAAAGCCUGACCCAGCCAUACCGCAUGAGUGAUGAAGG
rnacentral:rRNA from 1 species